UACGGGGGGGAGCAAGCGUUGUUCGGAGUUACUGGGCGUAAAGAGUGCGUAGGCGGUCCUGUAAGUUUGGUGUGAAAUCUCCCGGCUCAACUGGGAGGGUGCGCCGAAGACUGCAGGGCUUGAGUAUGGGAGAGGUAAGCGGAAUUCCUGGUGUAGCGGUGAAAUGCGUAGAUAUCAGGAGGAACACCUGUGGUGUAGACAGCUUACUGGACCAUAACUGACGCUGAGGCACGAAAGCGUGGGUAGCAAACAGG
rnacentral:rRNA from 1 species